UGGUGGUCCUACAAUGGUGAUGAAAAGUGACAUCCUGAUCAUUCUUUCUCCUUACACUCCACUAACUCAUUAUAUGCAUGCGGUGCAUUAGAAGAAGGUGGAUUCUUAAGACAACCAUCACGUGAAGUCUUAUCCAAUUGAUCAUUUGUAGAGAUCUUUGUAGAAGAUGUACAAAAGGUUCUUUGAAGUUAAAAAAUGCUUGUAGA
rnacentral:lncRNA from 1 species